rnacentral:misc_RNA from 1 species
AAAAAUAAAAAAAGAAAGAAAGAAAGACAGAAUUUUAGUAAACAAAACCUUAAUCCUCACUGUAAGCUUACAGUUUUCGUGUCUCGCGGCGACAUUAUUAUAAGUAUUUUUAUCAUUAUCAUUUAUUAAGCUCUAUUUCUCUGUCUCUAUCUAACUCUCUUUCUGACUCUGUCCCUGUCUCUGGUUCUCUCUCUGUUGGUUUUCGGCAAGCUCUGGUCUGGUCUCCCUAAGAACACUUGCAUUUGAGGGGUAAGUGGCACAGUGGUAAAAUGGAGAGGAAGCAGGGGUUCUUUUCGGCUUUAAAGGAGGAGGUGGUUAGGGGCUUAUCGCCGGGGAGGUCAAGAGCCAAGACUCCUGCUAGGAGCGCGUCCCCAAUGUCGAAUUUGUUACGGAGGAGAAAGGGACGUGGACACCACGUGGCGCAGCCCGAGCCGUUGAUUAUAGCAAGAUCGGGGAGCUUGAGGCCUGUGGAGGCUUUAUCGCCGUUGAAGGAGGGGCCUGAUCAAGACGACGGUGGAGAUUCGAGGAUGGAAGGGAGGUGGGGCCACUGGAUGAAGGGACAGCUGUCCAGAACGCCGUCCGUUGCGUCGUCAAAUGCGUGCAAUCGCUCCGAUCUGAGGUUGCUGCUGGGUGUACUGGGUGCGCCACUUGCUCCGGUCCACGUCAGCAGCGCCGAGCCUUUGCCUCACCUGAGUAUAAAAGAUACUCCAAUUGAAACUUCAUCUGCUCAAUAUAUAUUGCAGCAGUACACAGCAGCUUCAGGAGGGCAAAGAAUUCAAAAUUCCAUCCACAAUGCUUAUGCCAUGGGAAAGGUGAAGAUGAUAGCGUCUGAGUUUGAAACAGCAAACAAGGUCACAAGGAAUCGGAAUUCCUCCAAAGCUGCUGAGUCUGGUGGGUUUGUCCUCUGGCAAAUGAAUCCAGAUAUGUGGUAUGUUGAACUUGCUCUUGGUGGCAGCAAGGUCCAUGCUGGCUGCAAUGGGAAACUUGUGUGGAGGCACACACCCUGG